rnacentral:tRNA from 3 species
GCAUCCAUGGCUGAACGGUCAAAGCACCCAACUCAUAAUUGGAGAAUUCACAGGUUCAACUCCUGUUGGAUGCA